rnacentral:lncRNA from 1 species
UUCUCCUCAAUACUCCACGUCAUCAGCCCCUGUUUUGCUCUGUUUUCCUCUGUUCUAACAGAACCAAAGAUGCAAUCUCUUACAAAAAAACCUAUGUCCAAACAAAACCAGAGGCCUCCACCUCGUCGAGGGCAAAUCAAGAUUAAUAUACUCAAGUCUUUUGUCAAGUACUCGACUGCCGGAUUCUUGUCAUCGCCCGCCGAUGAUCAAUCGAAACGAAUUCGAGAAAAUGGUAUGAGCUCGAGCUCGAACUCGACAAGCCCGUACGAAACUCCGAGUGGCUACAACUCCGGAGGAUGAUGAUUAUUCAUUUUGGAUUAUUACUUCUAAUUUUCGCCUUUUGAGGCCCUUUUUUAUUUUAUUUGUACAGUUCAUGUUACUAUUGUUACCUUUAUUUUUUUUGAUCUAUUUGUAUUAAUAUGUAAUUUUUUUUUAUAUUGAAAAUUAAUAGUAGCAAAAAAAAACUAUCUUAUAGUGUCCAUUUUGCCCUGUUUUUUCCUCUGUUUUUUCUUCGGUUUAUUGCUAAGGUAAACCAAACAAGUAUCCCAUGCUCACAACUUUGAAUCACAUAAUUGACAUGGAAUCUUAUGGUCAUGCCCGAUUCUAAGAUUUCGGGGGCCCGAGGAGAACUUUGUAGACGUUGUUGAAAUGACAACGAUUUUUUUUUCUUUUUGAAAUAAUAUAACGAUUAACGGGUUAGGUUAAAUUUUAUGGGGGGCACCGAUUUUUUUAAGAGGUAUUGAUGAAGAUUCGAAUUCAAUAAAAGAAAUGGAAAUAUUGAAAAUUUCGACUUUGGAAUGAAAAUAUCGUAACAAAAUCAAUUUUUUUUAGAUUGAAGUCGAAAAAAUCGAAAAUCUAUUGUUUUCCCUAUGAAAUUGAGAAAAAUAUUCAUAAAAAUGUAUCCAGAACUGUUUGCUCAUAUCAAUCUGACUCAUCAUUAGAUUAAAAUAUAACCAGAAAUUGUUCUAUCCCACCAAUACUGGUGGUGGCUUUGAGUAAUUUAAUUCUUGGGAAUAUUGACAUUACCCCCUAAAAAUUUCUUAUUUUUGUAUUUACCUCCUCAUAAUUUUAAAAAGUAAAAGUCCCCCUUCAAAGUGUUAUUCUUGUUGCACAUUGCCCGAUGGCAAUAUUUCGAUGGAUCAUUCAUCGACAUUUGAGUAUUUGUGUUGCACAUUGCCCUUUUAUAUGUUAUUUUUGUUACACGUUACCCCUUAAAAACAUUAUCUUUUUUGCAUUUCCCCUUUAAAAUGUUAUUUUUGCUGCACAAUACCCACCAUAAAUUGUCUUGUGGGGAAAAUUGCAACCAAAAUAAUAUUUUGAAGACAGAUUAUUCAGUUUUUGAAUUUUUAGGAGGGAAAGUGCGAAAUUUGGGAAGGGGUUUUUAUUGAUCAAAAAGAGGAAUCUACUUCAACCGAUAUGCCCUUAGGCACGGCCAUACAUAACAUAGAAAUCACACUUGGAAAGGGUGGACAAUUAGUUAGAGCAGCGGGUGCUGUAGCGAAACUGAUUGCAAAAGAGGGGAAAUCGGCCACAUUAAAAUUACCUUCUGGGGAGGUCCGUUUGAUAUCCAAAAACUGCUCAGCAACAGUCGGACAAGUGGGGAAUGUUGGGGCGAACCAGAAAAGUUUGGGUAGAGCCGGAUCCAAGCGUUGGCUAGGUAAGCGUCCUGUAGUAAGAGGAGUAGUUAUGAACCCUGUAGAUCAUCCCCAUGGGGUGGUGAAGGGAGAGCCCCAAUUGGUAGAAAAAAACCCAAUCUACCCUUGUGUGAUUCCUGUUGAAGCAUAUACUCUGGGGUGGGUGCAGGGCGGACGAUUUUAAAGCAGACUCCCCAUUCAUUACAUUGUUGACAAUGAAACUUACCAAAGCAUUUUUCAACAAACUUUAGCUUGUCCACAAAUACAUCAGGUUAUUCCCUAAAUCUAUGUGAAUAACUCUUUGCUGUUUUUCACCGGGCUCGUGGCAUGAUUUUGACUUCUUAAAUUCAUUAAGGUUAGGUAUACCAAAGAAAAGGAAUAUCGCUAACUUAACCCCCUGAUUGUGAACAAGAUUUGGACAAGGAAAAUUAAAAUUCAUAUGGAAUUUCCCUCCGAAGAUUAAUGACGAAAGGUUGGUUUGUUUAUCAAAAGGAUCGAUUCGACCCCCUUGAAAAAUUUGUAAAGGAUGAAGUGCAUUUUGUCUUCUUAAUUAUUCGUAAGUCAGAUGAUGUUUGGUUAACCUUCUAAGAUGUUAAAGGAACUUAUAAGAGGAUUAGAAGUUUAUAAGUUUUUCCAAAUUGUUUGAUAAUAUUUUUUAAAAAUAUCUUCAUUUUUUUUAAUUAAAUUGUUACAGAGCAAACAAGAUUUUUUUUAAAAAGUAUAUAUACCCCAAUCUUUUUAUUUAGGAUUUUAUAAUGAGUAAAAUAACAAAUAAACUCAUUAUCCAAAUUCCAAACACUUAAAAAUUAGUUCAAAAAGUAAAAUGUAACAACUUAUCAGCUCUUAUAACAUCUUAUCUAACGUAAUAGCUUAUCAGUUGUUUAAAAUAAAUUUAGUCAAACGGGUUCUUAAUCUAAAUGUACCAGUGUUCUUUUCGUUUUCGAACAAACUAAUGAAUCACGACUUUUGUAUAUCUCUUAAUUACACACAAAAUAAAAAUAUUAGGUAAUUGUAAAAGUCAAUAAAUCAAUAUUAGGUAAUUUUAAAAGUCAAUAAAACCACGUAAAGUAAGAUUCAAAUCAGAAUUGUUAGAAUCCAGUGGGAUUCUAUUUCCCCAAAAAACCACUAACUUGGGCACUAAUACAAAAGAAUUUUCUUUUAAUAUUAUUUGUCCUUAAUUAGUUGGUUGGAUAUUUUUAUAUGAAAAUUAGUAUUAUAUUAGGAGUUAAAUAAUAUUUGUGAAUCGGGAAGUUCAAUACUUUGUAUGCAUAAAAGAGAGUCUUAACAAUUCACAGAUCAUAAUCAUACAAGCAUUCACUUGAUUUUGAUUUUAAUCUUGAUUCUACUUAAUCGAUUUUUAGCUUUCCGGUAAGUUUUCGUAGUUCGAUUGAAGUUGUGUUCAAUUGCAUUCACUUGAUAUUGAUUUUAAUCUUGAUCCUACUUAAUCGAUUUUUAGCUUUCCGGUAAGUUUUCGUAGUUCGAUUGAAGUUGUGUUCAAUUGCAUUCACUUGAUAUUGAUUUUAAUCUUGAUCCUACUUAAUCGAUUUUUAGCUUUCCGAUAAGUUUUCGUAGUUCGAUUGAAGUUGUGUUCAAUUGCAUUCACUUGAUAUUGAUUUUAAUCUUGAUCCUACUUAAUCGAUUUUUAGCUUUCCAGUAAGUUUUCGUAGUUCAAAAGUUGUGUUCAAUUGCAUUCACCUGAUUUUGAUUUUAAUCUUGAUUCUAUUUAAUCGAUUUUUAGCUUUCCGGUAAAUUCUGGUAGUUCGAUUGAAGUUGUGUUCGAUUGCAUACACUUGAUUUUGAUUUUAAUGUUGAUUCUGCUUAAUUGAUUUUUAGCUUUCCUGGUAAAUUUUGGUAGUUCGAUUGAAGUUGUGUUCGGUUGCAUACACUUGAUUUUGAUUUUAAUCUUGAUUCUACCUGAUCGAUUUUUAGCUUUCCGGUAAAAUUUUGGUAGUUCGAUUGCAUUCACUUGAUUUUGAUUUGAAUCUUGAUUCUACUUAAAUCGACUUGCUUGUUUAGAUCUCCGUUUGUUUUUCCAUCUUGUAUUAAUUAUUGUGGCGAUCGACAGAAUGGAGAAGAGACAAAAGCUAAUAGCACCGGCCGAAAGACAUCAUAUUCCACACGAAAUUCUAGAAAACAUCCUAUGUCGACUGCCGGCGAAAUCUCUACUAAGGUUCAAAGCAGUUUCGAAAUCAUGGAAAUCGAUAAUCUGCGACGACCCUGGUUUCUCGGACGUUCAUCUCCGACAAUCUAAGAUUUCGGCUUCUUCAUCCAACAAAAACUUAAUGUUUUGGAUCGAAACUUACCCUAACGGUAAUAAAACAAACUUGAUCACAUUACAAGACUUUGAAUCCAUGAAAUCCAGAAAGCGGAAGCAGAUCGAGUUUCCUAUGGAACAAGGAUUGCAUCUCGAGGUGUUGUGUCACUGCGAUGGAUUAGCUCUGAGGCGCACUCGUAAAGCCAAGGACAAGACUUACGUGCUGUGCAAUCCAUCGUCUCGAACAUGGGUACAGUUCAGAUGCCCUUAUCGAAUAUAUCACCGUAGAUAUAGAGCCCGUUUGGCUAAGCUUAUUUAAAACAUCUUAUAAGCUCCUACAUCUGAUAAGAUUUAUAAGAAGCACUACGCGGUUUUUCAUUGUAGGACCAAGGUGUGGAGUAAGAUUAAAUUAGACACCGUAAACGGGUUUUCGUCGCUCGAUGAAGUAAGCAUGGGCCAAGGGGUCAGUUUCGACGGUGGUGAUUUAUAUUUUCUUGUGGAAAUCGAAAGACGUGGUAACCGUCGUGUGGAAAUAGUUUGUUUCGAUUCGACAUGCGACAGAUUGAACAAGUUGCCGUAUCCAGGUUUAGCACGUGAAGUUUACAAUCAAUUAGAGAUGACUUGUUUGGGAGGGUAUUUGUAUUUAUUUAGCAAAAAUGUUUGUCAAAUGAUCAAAGUAACUAGCAGCAGCGGUAGCACAAGCCAAGAAAAGGUAGCAUGGAUUGAAUUUAACGGGCAGCCGCCAUUUUCGGGGAACUCGACUGUUGCUCUAUGUUCGAUCGACCAAGUCGCGACUCGAGUAAACGUACGGUCGUUUACAACUACGAUUGGUCAUGGUCAAAUCCCAUAUCUUGAAAACCUAUUUUUUUCAUCGGUGAUCAAUUAAUUGAUGAAUCUCCUUUUAACUAUUAACUCCAAUUUACUCCCAAAUUUUAAAAUCUUUCUCGCAAAUAUCAAAUGAGGAAUUAAUAACUCAAUUCGUAUGUUUACGAUUGGAGCUGCUCUAAUCUAAUGUGCGAGUUGAUUGGUAUGUACUAAGGUUAUUUAGAUUAGAUAUAUAUUUUUUAUAUUACUAUAUUAGAAAAAGAUGCACUGGACGAUAUUUUAUAUUGAAUAAAUGAAGUAAAUUUUUUUUUUUCCUUCUAAAUAGUAAAUAUCUACCAUGUCUAAAUAUUGCAAAGUAUAUAUUAUACAUAAAAUAUCUAUAUGGACUCGCCACUAUCCUAAAGUACAUUUUAUUUAAAUAAAAAUAAAAUAAUAAAAAAAUGGAACAUUUAUUAAUCACAUGACAAUUGAUUAGUAACGCGUGGCUGAAUUAAUUUCAAAAUCGCGCAGAAAAAUUUCAAAAUUUCAAAAGCUAAAAAAAGUAAAAUAAAAAUAGGGGCUUUAAGAUAUAGGACCCUGAUGACAAAAUUUAUUAGAACUAAAUGACAAGUACAAAUAAACAUUUGUUUCAUAUCCUUUAUAAAAUUCAUUCCAAAAUUGCCCUUUACACACAAAAAAGGAAAGUUGCACCAAGUAAUAUUAAAACAAUAUUUAUCAUUUUUUAUUUUGUAUUUAAUAUUUUCAAUUUUACAUCUACCAACUUAUUACUUUUUUCUUUUACGUAGUACACUUUUUUAUUUUUCCAUUUUCAUAUUUGUUCAUUAUUAUAGAAACCUUAUUUUUUCUGAAUAAAUAUUGAAAAUUAUGAAAAUAAUUUUUUUAAUGUUUUUCGACUGUAGUGUCUAUAGAUACCCAUAGAAAUCCGUAGAAGUCUGUAUUCAUAGAAACUCAUAGUAGUCUGUAGUCAUCCAUAGUUAUUGGUAGUUACACACUUUGAAAACCCUAGCCCCUAUUUGAACUCUAGCCGCCACCGCACAUAAACUCGUAGUAGUCUAUAGUAACUCAUAGUCAUCUCCAUGCUAAACCCUAGAUUUGCUGCCAUCGUCGCCAACACCAUAGCCACCGCCUCCGUUAUUGCCAUAACCACCCCCACCAUAACCCACCACCACUCAUAUAUUUGGACUCAUCUCUUCCCAAACACGUGUGCUUCCGCUUCAGAUCCACCACCGCUAGGGGCGUACCCAUGCCUAUGGCUGGGGUGGCCCCCGCCCCCCCAAGAUUUUUUUUUUAAGUUUUUUUUUUUUUUUGGGUAUUUAUGUAUUAGUUAAUAUACUUUCGCCCCCCAAACUUUUAAUUUUGUACACUUUAGUCCCCAAAGACAAAAAAAAAUUCCUCUCUUAAAUUACCCCUAUAUUUUCGACCCCCAAGAAAACCCCCUGGGUCCGUCCUGACCACCGCCACCAUAGAUCCGACGCACUACCGCUACCCACUCGUCGCCGCUUUCAGAUCCACCGUCACCAUAGAUUCACCGCAGCCGCCACCUUAAGAUUCACUGCCGCCCACUCCGCCGCCGCCACCCAUGUUUGCUUCUCCAAGCAUACGGCAUAACUGAUUUGUGAGCCCAAAUAAAAAACUAGUCCAGAGGAAUAUGGAGAUCGGGAGAGGAAGAGAGAGAAAGAAAGUGAUAGAUAGAGGGGGAGAAAAAAGAGAAAAAAAACAGAGAGAAAUAAAGAGGCAUGGAGAGAAAAAGAGAGAAAAAAUAGAGAGAAAGAGGCGAGAGAGGGAGGGGGAUAGAGAGAAAGAAAAAGUAAAUAACAAAUAGAAAUAAAUUUAUUAAAAGAACUGCGUGAAUAUGUAGAUUAAAAAAAAUAGGUUAUAAGGGCAGUUUAGGGAUAAAAAAAUAAUUAAGAAUGUAUAUCAUACUAGUACUCGUACCCGUGCGAUGCACGGGGAGAUGUUCAUACGGGGUGACAUUCGAAAAUGAGCAAAAUAGUGAUUCAAAACAUGAUCUGGAAAAUGAGUAUAUUUUCUUUUGAAACCAAAAAAAACAAAAACAAAAAUGAGUAUACUUAAAGAAAAUAUUGAGUGCAAACCGCCAAAAAUAAAAGUGGCCUCAAACUACAUAACAAAAAACAUAAAAGUAAACCAUAGAGCUGAAUGUGUAUAAGAAAUUAAAAAUCUAAAUAUAUACGCCUGGACAACUUCAAUAUGUAGUAUAAAUCUUGAAAUCAUUUUCUUGUUUUGCAUAUUCUUUCAUAUUGUACACAAAUAACUUUGAAGUAUAUUCAAAACGAAGGCACAUGAAUAAAAAGAACACUAUUUAUAUAUAGUUCGCCUCCAAUCGAUCCCAAAAACUCUUUCGUAAAUAGCUUUAACUUAUAGUCUAAACGAUAACAUAGGAAUAAGGAAAAACAUAUAAUGCUUGUAUAUUUUUUUUAGUUGGCCUAUUCCCAACCUCAAAAGCCUACAGUAUAACUCCCAACUCCUCCAAGACAAAGAUUAAACCAAUCACCACAACAAAUGAGGAAAUAUAUAUUUUUUAAUUGUGUUUGAAUUCAAAGAAUUGAUUAUCAUCCACUUGAUGAAAUUUGAGCAUAAUGAAAAAGUAGAUUUUGUAGGUUAUAUGCUAUCCUUAUUCUUCUUUUCCCCGACUGCUAUCCUUGGGAAGCUUCUUCUCCGCCUUAGCUAACAAAAUACGCCACCCUCUCUAUUGCCGUUCUCAACUGAAAAGUUCAUUCAUAUACAUAACUACAUGCUAAUUUUUUUUUUGGUUAAUAGAAAAGCGAAAGCACAUACAAAAAAUAAAUUAAAAAAUUAAAAAAAUAGUAAUAACAACAAUAAUAAUAAUAAUAAUAAUAAUAAUAAUAAUAAUAAUAAUAAUAAUAAUAAUAAUAAUAAUAAUAAUAAUAAUAAUAAUAAUAAUAAUAAUAAUAAUAAUAAUAAUAAAUUUCUACCAAAGAACUAUUCAUAAAUAAAAACAUGAAAUUGAAAAAGAAACAAAAUAAAUACACGAACAACAUGGGUUAAAAGAAGUCACCAAUAUCGUCACAUUCCAAGAAAGACAUUGUUUUUCUAUGAAAGAAACAAACUGAGUUUUAUUUAGCAAGUGAUCAGUUUGCAGCUCUAUUGCCUUCACUAUAUCCAUUACCAAAGCUUCUCCUGCAAAUCUGCAAAGCGAAAUCCAAGUGAAUUAUGCAUAGUUCGCCUUGAAACAUUCGGGGAAAAAAAAAAGAACGUUGAAAGUGGAAAUUAAUUCACGAAUUACCAGUGAGAGAGAGAUGGGGUUCACAAUAUUAAUUAUUUUUAGAUUUUAUGAACCCUAAUUUUAUGUGCUAGUAUGAAGUUCUGAGAUGGAAGUAAGAGAGAUGUUAUAGUUCUACAAAUGGAGGUUUCCACCACGUCCGUCUCCAUCUUCCACCAUGAGAGAAAAUAGGAGCAGUUAUUUAAGAAAAGAAAAGCUGGAAACACAUUUUAUGUUUCAUGUUUCAAUAAUUUAACAUUUUUUGUCAUUUUUUCAUCAAUUUUACGGGAAGUCGGGAACACUCUUGAUUCCGUUAGUACUAACGAAAAAAUGACGAAAAUAACUAAAAAUAUUGAAUUUUUGAAAUAUUUGGGACCAAAUGUAUUCUUUUGUGAAUAUGUGGACCAAAUAUGAAAUAAUUGUAAAUUUGAGGGAUGAAACUGUAAUUUUCCCCAAUAAAGCUGAUUACUAAUCCUCCAUAUACACAUUUAUUUAAAAAAAUACUUAUUAUUAUAUUUGGGAUGAUCCAACAUAAAUAAGGCCUUUUGGGAUUUAAAAGUCACAGAGAAAAAGAAAGUAAUAGAAAAAUUGGCCAUGAUUGAGAAAAAGUAUGCAGUAUGCUAAUUAAGCAAGAAUUUCUUGUCAAAAAGAAAAAGAGAAAUAAAAGUAAUCAAGAAUUUAUUUGGUAUAUUCCAUUCUACAACGUUCUAGAAUGUAGUCAUAUCACGUUUUUAUAUGGACAUCUGUGCUUUAACCUUUCAUAAUAAAUUAUUGUUGAUUAAUUCACGUGAUGGUAUUGUUCUUGAUUCUAAUUAGGUCAAUCUUUGGAAAGCCUCCGUGAUUUGCACAAUUAUAAUAAGGGUAAAUUACAACCACCCCUGAGAUAAAGUUAAAUUACGAACUCCCCUCAUGUUUAGGUAAUUACAGUUACCUUUUCUUAACUAUGACUCUUUUUACACGUCCAUCCUUAUGGUGUCAUAUUCAAUAUAAUCUUCUAGAUUUCGUGGAAUGUUCUCUAGUUUGUACUCGUUUUGUGCAAAAAUGCAGUUUCUGAUGUACCACAAUAUGAUAUAUACAAGUCAAAAAACACAUCUAUUGAUCAUCUUGCUUCAAAAUGUGGAACUCGAAUGAGAUGAAACGGGUACAAACUUGAAAUAUUCCAUAAACUGUAGGAGAUCCCACUAAAUUUGAUACCGCAAUGGUGAACGUGUAAGAAAAUUCAUAGUUAAAUGAGUGUCUGUAAUUACCAAAACAUAAGGGGUUUUCGUAAUUUAACCUUACCUCAGGGGUAGCCGUAAUAUACCCUAAAAAACAAUACAUAAAAAAUAAAUAAAACAAAUGUUAGCGAGCCAACUCAUGAGUUCACGAACAACUAAAAAAUAGCUCCAGCUCAAAAAACUCGUGUUAGAGCUUUUUUCGAGCACAAACCCUACCCCACACUCCCACUUGGCCCCAAAAAACUGCAAAAUGAAAUCAAGAAUUGAGUUUGAAGCAUACAAGUCCCUAUACUGACUGGUCAGAAAAUUGUUUUCUUGAAUAGAAACUGGCCCCACUUUUCACCCAAUCUUGGAGGCCAAGUUUCUUGAAUUUUACUGAUUAGUCCCUACUACCACAUUGGAUAAAUUAAAUAAAUUCCCAACACACUUACUCUUCUCCUCAAUACUCCAGUUCAUCAAACCCCCAUGUUUUCCUCUGUUCUAACAGAACCAAAGAUGCAAUCUAUUACAAUAAAACUUAUGUCCAAACAAAACCAGAUGCCUCCACCUCGUCGAGGACAAAUCAAGAUUAAUAUACUCAAGUCUUUGGUCAAAUCGACUGCCGGAUUCUUGUCACUGCCCACCGAUGAUCAAUCGAAACAAAUUCGAGAAAAUAGAAUGAGCUCGAGCUCGAACUCGACAAGCCCGUACGAAACUCCGAGUGGCUACAACUCCGGAGGAUGAUGAUUAUUCAUUUUGGAUUAUUACUUCUAAUUUUCGCCUUUCGAGGCCCUUUUUUAUUUUAUUUGUACAGUUCAUGUUACUAUUUUUAUCUUUAUUUUUGUUGAUCUAUUUGUAUUAAUAUGUAAUUUUUUUAUUUUAUAUUGAAAAGUAAUAGUAGCAAAAAAAAACUAUCUUAUAGUGUCCAUUUUGCCCUGGUUUUUCCUCUGUUUUUUCUUCGGUUUAUUGCUAAAGUAAACCAAACAAGUAUCCCAUGUUCACAACUUGGAAUCACUUGAUCGACGUGGAAUCUUAUGGCUAGGCCCGUUUCUAAGAUUUCGGGGGCCCGAGGCGAACUC